rnacentral:rRNA from 1 species
UUACCGAGUGUAGGGUUCCUAGCGAGCCCAACCUCCCACCCGUGUUUACUGUACCUUAGUUGCUUCGGCGGGCCCGCCAUUCAUGGCCGCCGGGGGCUCUCAGCCCCGGGCCCGCGCCCGCCGGAGACACCACGAACUCUGUCUGAUCUAGUGAAGUCUGAGUUGAUUGUAUCGCAAUCAGUUAAAACUUUCAACAAUGGAUCUCUUGGUUCCGGCAUCGAUGAAGAACGCAGCGAAAUGCGAUAACUAGUGUGAAUUGCAGAAUUCCGUGAAUCAUCGAGUCUUUGAACGCACAUUGCGCCCCCUGGUAUUCCGGGGGGCAUGCCUGUCCGAGCGUCAUUGCUGCCCAUCAAGCACGGCUUGUGUGUUGGGUCGUCGUCCCCUCUCCGGGGGGGACGGGCCCCAAAGGCAGCGGCGGCACCGCGUCCGAUCCUCGAGCGUAUGGGGCUUUGUCACCCGCUCUGUAGGCCCGGCCGGCGCUUGCCGAACGCAAAUCAAUCUUUUUCCAGGUUGACCUCGGAUCAGGUAGGGAUACCCGCUGAACUUAAGCAUAUCA